AUACAUGCAAGUCGAGCGAACAGACAAGGAGCUUGCUCCUUUGACGUUAGCGGCGGACGGGUGAGUAACACGUGGGUAACCUACCUAUAAGACUGGGAUAACUUCGGGAAACCGGAGCUAAUACCGGAUAAUAUUUCGAACCGCAUGGUUCGAUAGUGAAAGAUGGUUUUGCUAUCACUUAUAGAUGGACCCGCGCCGUAUUAGCUAGUUGGUAAGGUAACGGCUUACCAAGGCGACGAUACGUAGCCGACCUGAGAGGGUGAUCGGCCACACUGGAACUGAGACACGGUCCAGACUCCUACGGGAGGCAGCAGUAGGGAAUCUUCCGCAAUGGGCGAAAGCCUGACGGAGCAACGCCGCGUGAGUGAUGAAGGUCUUCGGAUCGUAAAACUCUGUUAUUAGGGAAGAACAUACGUGUAAGUAACUAUGCACGUCUUGACGGUACCUAAUCAGAAAGCCACGGCUAACUACGUGCCAGCAGCCGCGGUAAUACGUAGGUGGCAAGCGUUAUCCGGAAUUAUUGGGCGUAAAGCGCGCGUAGGCGGUUUUUUAAGUCUGAUGUGAAAGCCCACGGCUCAACCGUGGAGGGUCAUUGGAAACUGGAAAACUUGAGUGCAGAAGAGGAAAGUGGAAUUCCAUGUGUAGCGGUGAAAUGCGCAGAGAUAUGGAGGAACACCAGUGGCGAAGGCGACUUUCUGGUCUGUAACUGACGCUGAUGUGCGAAAGCGUGGGGAUCAAACAGGAUUAGAUACCCUGGUAGUCCACGCCGUAAACGAUGAGUGCUAAGUGUUAGGGGGUUUCCGCCCCUUAGUGCUGCAGCUAACGCAUUAAGCACUCCGCCUGGGGAGUACGACCGCAAGGUUGAAACUCAAAGGAAUUGACGGGGACCCGCACAAGCGGUGGAGCAUGUGGUUUAAUUCGAAGCAACGCGAAGAACCUUACCAAAUCUUGACAUCCUUUGACAACUCUAGAGAUAGAGCCUUCCCCUUCGGGGGACAAAGUGACAGGUGGUGCAUGGUUGUCGUCAGCUCGUGUCGUGAGAUGUUGGGUUAAGUCCCGCAACGAGCGCAACCCUUAAGCUUAGUUGCCAUCAUUAAGUUGGGCACUCUAAGUUGACUGCCGGUGACAAACCGGAGGAAGGUGGGGAUGACGUCAAAUCAUCAUGCCCCUUAUGAUUUGGGCUACACACGUGCUACAAUGGACAAUACAAAGGGCAGCGAAACCGCGAGGUCAAGCAAAUCCCAUAAAGUUGUUCUCAGUUCGGAUUGUAGUCUGCAACUCGACUACAUGAAGCUGGAAUCGCUAGUAAUCGUAGAUCAGCAUGCUACGGUGAAUACGUUCCCGGGUCUUGUACACACCGCCCGUCACACCACGAGAGUUUGUAACACCCGAAGCCGGUGGAGUAACCAUUGGAGCUAGCCGUCGAA
rnacentral:rRNA from 1 species